UAGCUCGAAGGCCAGCAUCAGGCCCGUGUCCAAGACUUUUAUAAUAUCGAAAGAAAAGUGAUUUUUUUUUCAAACAAAGCGUAAAACAAAUCACAAAUGUGACUCCUGGCUUGUUUUAUGGUUCUUGCAGACUUUAAUCAAAAUUUUAUUUCGAGUCUAAUGCAUUGAGCGCGAGACUCUCGUGCUAUCGGCAUUAACCUUACGCGUAUUAAAAUCUACACUACUGUAGAUCAAAGCCCGAUAAAUUGAAAUUAGAAUUUGUUUUAGUUAAAACCGGAUUUCACACACGUAUGAUUCGGUAUGGCUAGUGUUCUGCCCCUAGUGGCACAGCGGCACGUCUGCGGACUUAAAACGCUAUAAACCGGGUUUAGAUACCCGCGGUGGGCAAAACACAGAUAGCCCAUUGUGUAGCUUUGUGCUUAACUUAAAAAAAUCAAAGCUAGUGAUGUGAUUAUAACCCCCAUGCCAAGCAACACCACUGGAUAUAGGCUCCUGUUUAAUCACCCUGGUUCUAAGUAACGUAACUUUUAUUCAGACUCCGUUGUCCAUAGUACAGUAUAAUAACACUUUACCAACGUCACAGUAUCUAGGACCUCACCCAAGUUGGGUCGAGGAACCAUAUAGCCAAUGACGUUUACUUACUGGUAUAAUGUAUUCCGCGCUAUUCCAGGUUUUAAUAUUCCCCUGUACAGGUAACAUUUGUAGUCUGGGGUUCUGAGAAAAUAUUACCAGUACUGUCUGCUGUUCUUUCAGCAAUUGCAAAAUGGUGGUAAAAAAAGAAAGAAAAAAUCCUUAUUAAUUAUGCUUCCAAGAUCUGAAACCAUCAGUUAAACUUGAACUGUGUCUAAAAAAAAAAAAAAGGGGUGCCAAGAUCUUCCUACCCCCUUCCGGGAUACCACUGUAUAUGGGCGGUUUUUGAACUUUAUUCACAGAUUUAAAUGGGAACUGGCACAGACACGUUAGGGAUCGCUAAAAUCCUGGUUUCGAUUCGCCUCGGUGGGACAGCCUACGGACCUACAACGCUAAUAAUCUGGGGUUCGGUUCCCCGCGGUGUACACAGCAGAUAGCCCAAUGCGGCUUUGAUCUAAAACCAACAACAACAAAAUGAGUACCUGCGUUCAGUGUUUUAAAACUGGGAACCUUCGAAUGUGGGAUCGUUAGAUUUACUGCAGGAAUUUACUUGAAAGUUGAUUGUUCGUUUGUUUGAAAUUAAGCACAAAGCAACACAAUGGGCUAUCUGUACUCUGCCCACCACGAGAAUCAAAACCGGAUUCUAGCUUUGUAAGUCCGCUGACAUGCCGCUGUGCCAAUGGGGGGCCUUGAAAGUUGAAAAGAUCGUGCAAAUUGGCGAUCAAAACAAGGCGUGCAUAGUUGUUGUUUUUUGCGGGUUUUUUUUUGUUUUUGAAGAAAUAAAUAAAGAAAAUAUACCAGUCACAGUAAUCUUAUAACCUGUUAAGAAUACAGCAAGCUUCAGUUUUCGAGUUAUUACUAAGAAUGGUACAGAAAUAAAGUGAUUAUCUCAACCCACGUACUAGAAGCGGUAAAUUAUGGUUUAUGAGAGAAUAAACUUUAUCUUUUUUCUUCAGACCAGGUCUAAAUAAUUUUUCUUUUCUUUUCAAUAUGAUCCACACUAGAUUAAUUAAAAGAGCUCGUGGUAAUCAUUGUUAAGGCUGAAAAUAUAACUCUGUUCGUUUUAUCAGGUGCUGCAUGCAUCACGACUUGUGUUACGAUAGAGCUAACGACAAAGCUUGUGAAAACUACCACAACAAAGGACCGUACGUUCUUAAAUAUGAUUGGAACGUUACAAGGUCAGGAAAAUUUGAAUGUGGUGACACCAGUAACAGCUGUGUUGGAAAAAUAUGCAAGUGUGAUAUCCAUUUAGCAAUGUGCC
rnacentral:lncRNA from 1 species